rnacentral:rRNA from 1 species
UACGUAGGGGGCUAGCGUUGUCCGGAUUUAUUGGGCGUAAGGCGCGUGUAGGCGGCCAGGUAGGUCCGCUGUGAAAACUCGAGGCUCAACCUCGAGAUGUCGGCGGAAACCAUCUGGCUAGAGUCCGGAAGAGGAGAGUGGAAUUCCCGGUGUAGCGGUGAAAUGCGCAGAUAUCGGGAAGAACACCCGUGGCGAAGGCGGUUCUCUGGGACGGUACUGACGCUGAGACGCGAAAGCGUGGGGAGCGAACAGG